UACAGAGGGUGCGAGCGUUAAUCGGAAUUACUGGGCGUAAAGCGUGUGCAGGCGGUUUGUUAAGUCUGUUGUGAAAUCCCCGAGCUCAACUUGGGAAUUGCAAUGGAUACUGGCAGGCUGGAGUAUGGUAGAGGAAGGUGGAAUUCCCGGUGUAGCAGUGAAAUGCGUAGAGAUCGGGAGGAACACCAGUGGCGAAGGCGGCCUUCUGGACCAAUACUGACGCUCAUGCACGAAAGCGUGGGGAGCAAACAGG
rnacentral:rRNA from 1 species